GGCAGGGUGGGGGUAUCUCCUGCACCCCCAAGGGUGUAGCCCAUCUCUCCUCUGCUGUGGACACUCAGCGCCCACCCCAGGUGCCUGGACACCACCACGCCCUGGACACGGCUGCCUGGAAGAAGACGGGUUCCCACGCCACCCUGGAGAAAUUUGCCUGGUGGGCCCACCCGGCCCUUACCUGCCACGCCCGGCGCAGACCAAGCAAUUUCACUUCCCAGUCCCCUGGGUGGGUGGCAGCAGGCAGGGUGGGUGGAAUGUUCCGACGCCCACACACUGCACACUUCUGUUCGGGGCAGCUGGGCAGGGCGGCCUCUGGGAGCCUGAGCCCCUCAGAGUCCAAGGAGCCCGGAGAGGGCCCAGCUUCCGGCAUCGGGGGACGGCUAGGGACAGCGCCUCUGCUCUCACGGCCUGGGGUGCCGCUGAGCCCCAAGGGCAGAUCCCGAGUGGAGGACACUGCACAGCCCUUCUGAGCCUCCUCUCCACAUGCUGUGGGUGGUGGGCUGGGCCCCGGGAGCUCUAAGCCAGGCCCUGGUCUGUGACACCCUCCUCGGGCCACCAGACAGAGCAGGGUUGAUUCGCAGAGCAAGCAAAGCCUCAGAAUGUGCCUUCCAGGCCAUGGUGGGUAGCAGGAGGCAGGACUCUUCUAGAAGUAGGGGUCUGGCCUGAGGCUACGUCCUUCGCAGGACGGUGCUGGUGGCCCCGGGCUCUCCCGGCAAAUCCCUGCGAUGGUGGAAGGAGGGCCGCUUAGGACCGAGGGAAAACCCUCCUGUGGGUGGGAGGCCGGGGUCCUAGGAGGUUGGCCUUGGAUCUGCAGGGCCUGCUCUGCGGGACCCGGAGAAGCCACUUGGAGAGGGAGCUCCGGAGCCACAGGGUCACGACUGUGUGUUGCUCAGAUCUGAAGGUUUGUGAAGCCUAGAGGUCGGGUGACGGGCCAGGCUCACGGGACACCCUUGCUUCACGAACAUCUCUCCCUGAACCACCACGAGGCCUGGUCAAAGGGAGUUCACUCUUGGCGGAGAGAAAGGAGACACGUCUCACACGCCUGAUGGGGAAAGAACAGGAGCGAGCAGCUGUUCCCGCCAGGCCGAUGAGGAGACUGAGGUUCAGAGAGGAACCCAGGCAGCCGGUGGCUCCUGUACUUCCUUUGGGGGCGUGAGGUGAAGACGGGGCCAGCGCCCCUGGGGCAGCUGAGACCAGGGCGGGGAAGACCAUAAAUCAGGCAAGAGCCAGUGCCCGGUGCCCCAAGGUGAGCACAUGGAGGGACGGUGACUGCUGGUCCUGGGAGCGAGCACAGAGCCCACGGGAAAGCGAGGAGCUCAGUAGGAAAGUGAGGAGACCACCAGGAAAGCGCAGAGCCCAUGGGAAAGGGAUGAGCCCACGGGAAAGCGAGGAGCCCACGGGAAAGCGCGGAGCCUGCGGGAAAGGGCGGAGCCCGCGGGAAAGGGCGGAGCCCACUGAGAAAGCGCGGAGCCCACGGGAAAGGAAGGAGCCCACGAGAAGGCGCGGAGCCCAUGGGAAAGGGAGGAGCCCAUGGGAAAGCGCGGAGCCCACGGGAAAUCAGGGCCGCACUGCACAACAGUUCAGAUGCUUCCAGCGUCCGCUGGGCGCCCGGUCCGUCCCAGAAGAAGAUUCAACCUGCACUGACCAGGCCUGUGUCUGCCUGAGAAUCAGCCUGGGGUUCCUUCAACGCACGCAUACAGAGUCCUAAAGGGCCAUGGGAAGCACCCCGAACCUUUCCUUAAAUCGCAGAAGGGAGCAAGGGAAGAAUCCACAUGGCGGACAGGCUAAGAUCCCAAAUCCCAGUAAUCACUAUGACUUGGUUAAGAAAUAAGGUGCAAGUCCCACCAACAAUUCCAAAAGGAAACUUCAUAUGCAAACCAAAAUCACAUCAAUCAGCUGAGUCUUCAUUUUCUUCACGUGCCAACAAAAAUAAGUAUCCCUGGGAGGACAAUGACGGGAGGCAGAGGCAGGCUAAGUCCUCGCAGACGGGGAGAUGGUUCCUCACACACGUGGUCAGAGAAAAAUACGGCAAGUACCAGAAAAUUAAAACAGGAUGAAUAUCUCUCUAGCAACUAGCAAAAACUGGAGUGAAAUGUACCUGCCAAGGGUGAGAAAACAGCAAACACACAGCAGCACCAAGAAAUCGUCGCCCUGAGAUGACGGGAGCAGACGUAUGACUGGCAAUGGCAAGAGCAAAACACAUGAGCGGAUUUUCCCCUCGCAGCCUCAGAUCUGCUUUCUGUCCCUGUGGGUUUGCCUCCUCUGGGUACGUUCUGAGUUAAUUUUUGUAUAAGUUAGGAGACUUAGGUCAAAGUUCCUUUUUUUUUUGCCUGUAGAUGUCUGAUUCUUCCAGCACCAUUUGUUGAAAAGCUAGUCUUCUUCCACUGAAUUGUUUUUAUAUCUUUGUGAAAAAUCAGGUGGGCCUAUUUGUGUGGGUCAGUUUCUGGGUUUUCUGUUCUGUUCCGUUGGUUCGAGAGUCUACCCUGAUGCACACACGUCACUUUCUCAACAUUGUCACGAUGGAUGAGGCUUUAAUAUCCAUGCCAGCUAGAGUGACACCUCCACUUUUUUCUCCCUUGUUUCAGGAUUGGUUUUGUUUGUUUGUUUGAGAUGGAGUCCCACUGUGUCGCCCAGGCUGGAGUGCAGUGGCAUGAUCUUGGCUCACUAGAAUCUCUGCCUCCCGGGUUCAAGUGAUUCUCCUGCCUCAGCCUCCCGAGUAGCUGGGAUAACAGGCACAACCACCAUGCCCAGCUAAUUUUUGUAUUUUUAGUAGAGAUGGGGUUUCACUUUGUUGGCCAGGCUGGUCUCAAUCUCCUGAUCUCGUGAUCCACCCACCUCGGCCUCCCAAAAUGCUGGGAUUACUAGCGUGAGCCACCGAGC